AUUCUGUGGCGCUAAAGUUACAGCCCAUAAAGCUAAAGAUAAAUUGCAGGAAAAUGUGACCUUAUGGAAACCUUUUCCACUGGAAUGAACUUCCCAUUAAAAGAAUCAACCAAUGGAA